rnacentral:rRNA from 1 species
CUACAGGCUUAACACAUGCAAGUCGAGGGGCAGCAUGGUCUUAGCUUGCUAAGGCCGAUGGCGACCGGCGCACGGGUGAGUAACACGUAUCCAACCUGCCGUCUACUCUUGGACAGCCUUCUGAAAGGAAGAUUAAUACAAGAUGGCAUCAUGAGUCCGCAUGUUCACAUGAUUAAAGGUAUUCCGGUAGACGAUGGGGAUGCGUUCCAUUAGAUAGUAGGCGGGGUAACGGCCCACCUAGUCUUCGAUGGAUAGGGGUUCUGAGAGGAAGGUCCCCCACAUUGGAACUGAGACACGGUCCAAACUCCUACGGGAGGCAGCAGUGAGGAAUAUUGGUCAAUGGGCGAGAGCCUGAACCAGCCAAGUAGCGUGAAGGAUGACUGCCCUAUGGGUUGUAAACUUCUUUUAUAAAGGAAUAAAGUCGGGUAUGGAUACCCGUUUGCAUGUACUUUAUGAAUAAGGAUCGGCUAACUCCGUGCCAGCAGCCGCGGUAAUACGGAGGAUCCGAGCGUUAUCCGGAUUUAUUGGGUUUAAAGGGAGCGUAGAUGGAUGUUUAAGUCAGUUGUGAGAGUUUGCGGCUCAACCGUAAAAUUGCAGUUGAUACUGGAUAUCUUGAGUGCAGUUGAGGCAAGCGGAAUUCGUGGUGUAGCGGUGAAAUGCUUAGAUAUCACGAAGAACUCCGAUUGCGAAGGCAGCCUGCUAAGCUGCAACUGACAUUGAGGCUCGAAAGUGUGGGUAUCAAACAGGAUUAGAUACCCUGGUAGUCCACACGGUAAACGAUGAAUACUCGCUGUUUGCGAUAUACAGCAAGCGGCCAAGCGAAAGCGUUAAGUAUUCCACCUGGGGAGUACGCCGGCAACGGUGAAACUCAAAGGAAUUGACGGGGGCCCGCACAAGCGGAGGAACAUGUGGUUUAAUUCGAUGAUACGCGAGGAACCUUACCCGGGCUUAAAUUGCAGAUGAAUUACGGUGAAAGCCGUAAGCCGCAAGGCAUCUGUGAAGGUGCUGCAUGGUUGUCGUCAGCUCGUGCCGUGAGGUGUCGGCUUAAGUGCCAUAACGAGCGCAACCCUUGUUGUCAGUUACUAACAGGUUCCGCUGAGGACUCUGACAAGACUGCCAUCGUAAGAUGUGAGGAAGGUGGGGAUGACGUCAAAUCAGCACGGCCCUUACGUCCGGGGCUACACACGUGUUACAAUGGGGGGUACAGAGGGCCGCUACCACGCGAGUGGAUGCCAAUCCCCAAAACCUCUCUCAGUUCGGACUGGAGUCUGCAACCCGACUCCACGAAGCUGGAUUCGCUAGUAAUCGCGCAUCAGCCACGGCGCGGUGAAUACGUUCCCGGGCCUUGUACACACCGCCCGUCAAGCCAUGGGAGCCGGGGGUACCUGAAGUGCGUAACCGCGAGGAGCGCCCUAGGGUAAAACUGGUGACUGGGGCU